AGUGAACGCUGGCGGCGUGCCUAACACGUGCAAGUCGAACGAUGAUGGAGGAGCUUGCUCUUCCUGAUUAGUGGCGCACGGGUGAGUAAUGCAUAGAUAAUGUGCCCCUUAGUUCGGGAUAGCCACUGGAAACGGUGAUUAAUACCGGAUACUCCUUCUUACUAUACGGUAAGUCGGGAAAGUUUUUCGCUAAGGGAUCAGUCUAUGUCCCAUCAGUUUGUUGGUGAGGUAAUGGCUCACCAAGACUAUGACGGGUAUCUGGUUUGAGAGGAUGAUCAGACACACUGGAACUGAGACACGGUCCAGACUCCUACGGGAGGCAGCAGUGAGGAAUAUUGCACAAUGGAGGAAACUCUGAUGCAGCAACGCCGCGUGGAGGAUGACGCAUUUCGGUGUGUAAACUCCUUUUAAGAGGGAAGAUUAUGACGGUACCUCUUGAAUAAGCACCGGCUAACUCCGUGCCAGCAGCCGCCGUAA
rnacentral:rRNA from 1 species